UUGAUGUGUCAAAGUGACUGUGGUUGC
rnacentral:piRNA from 1 species